GCCCAGGUCAUCAUUCUGCGGGGCUCAGGUGGCCUCACCCAGGGAUGCGGCAGGCCUGGGCUCCAAGUGGAGACCGCCCUUCCCUCUGUGGCCCAGACCAAGUCGCUGGAACCCGGCCGGGCCAGGGCCGCAGCUCUUUGCAGGCCAGGGCCUGUUCCUUCCAGAUUCUCCUCCCUGCACUGACGUCUUUGAGCUGUGUCCCCUGGUCUGGUGGCCUGGUGUCUCCUUGGGCUCAGGUGCCCUGAGGUGAGGUGAGGAGGCAGGGCAUGUGAAUGUUCUUUACAAACUGACCCUAGAGCAAGAGGCUUGGAAGAGGUGGUCAGACGCUAGAGUGACCAGGAGUUUCCAGAAGGUGCAAAAGAAGGUUCGUUGGCAUCCAAAGAGAAGGGUGGGGCAAAGUGAAAAUUGGAAAAGAAAAACAAAACCUUUUCUCCCCCCAAAAUGUUCUGACCCUCCAGAUCUGAGGACAGUGGGAGGCUCCAGAGGAGGGAAUUGGG
rnacentral:lncRNA from 1 species